rnacentral:misc_RNA from 1 species
GAUGAAGAACGUAUCGAAAUGCGAUAAGUAAUGUGAAUUGCAGAAUUCAGUGAAUCAUCGAAUCUUUGAACGCACAUUGCGCCCUUUGGUAUUCCAAAGGGCAUGCCUGUUCGAGCGUCAUUUGUACCCUCAAGCUUUGCUUGGUGUUGGGCGUCUUGUCUCUAGCUUUGCUGGAGACUCGCCUUAAAGUAAUUGGCAGCCGGCCUACUGGUUUCGGAGCGCAGCACAAGUCGCACUCUCUAUCAGCAAAGGUCUAGCAUCCAUUAAGCCUUUUUUUCAACUUUUGACCUCGGAUCAGGUAGGGAUACCCGCUGAACUUAAGCAUAUCAAUAAGCGGAGG